rnacentral:lncRNA from 1 species
CUCCGGCACCACAUUAGCUUAUGUGACGUGACAGCAAAUGAAGAAUGCAGUCCCACCAAAACACUUAGGCUGUGUUUAAUGGGAAAAUAGUUCCCACUGCUGCAGUUCUUAAAUUUAAAUUCAUUACAAUUAAGUAAAUGGAAAAAUUCAUUUCCUCAGUCAUACUAGUCACACUUGGAGCACUUACUAAAAUAGCUGCUCAGUUUGUUUGUUUGAACGAGGCUGGAGGCCAGAGCAGCAACAAUCAUCUCUGGGCCUUCAGAGCACUAUGAAGUCUGGUCCCUGACUGGCUCUCGAGUCCCACCUCCUACCUCCCUCCCCUGGCUCUUAGCCCUGCCUAUGCGCUGAUCCCUGAGCCUGGACACCGUUUUCCCUGCAGAGCUGAUCAACUUCACUUGUUCCCUUGUUGUAUAAGCCGGGGCCCCCUGAUCUUCCACAGGCAGACGUAUUGGAAUGUGGUUGUUGGAAGCUUCCAUGGCAGUUGGAAGGAGACCACCAGUUGGACUGAUGGAAGGGAUCCUGCAGGACACAUGGAACAGAAAGGCACCAGCUAGGGAAACUUCUGGAGAAAGCAGUCAGACUGGAUGUCAAGCUGCCCUCCUGAAUGGCAGUGAGGCUAAGCAGAAAACUUAAGGGUGGAGACAAAAAUCCGAGGUCUCAGUCUGCAUACAGACCACUCUGGAACACGACUUGGUGACUUGGGGCAGGCCACUCACUCAGCACUUUGUCCUCACUUGUGAAAUGGAGGCUUGGAUGGACUCCGCUUUAGAGCACAGCAUGUCUUCAUCUGGGCAGGGAUGAAGAGAUCACCCCUUGAGGCCCCACCAAGUGGCCUGCUCAUUCCUCCACCUGUCUGUGACUCAGAGCAGGUACCAGACCUACACUGUGCUGGUGCUCCAUUCCUGUGGUCUUGGCCACCUCGAUCUUUCCCAUGCAUGAGGUUAGAAUCUCCUAAUGAUAAUAUGGCAACAUCAAGUUCAGGGACGCCUUGUACUUGCGGAAGCUUCACGCGUCUGACUAUUCACUUGCCCAUUUGUUUACUGUAGCCAGGAGCCGGGGUUUGAACAUCGGCUCUGCAACUUCCUAGCUUUGCAAUCCUACGUGAGUUUCUUCACCUUUCUUAUCUUUUUUCUUUUUUUAAUGUUUAUUAAAAACAGAGCGUGAGCAGGGGAGGGGCAGAGAGAGGGGGAGACACAGAAUCCAAAGCAGGCUCCAGGCUCUGAACUGCCAGCACAGAGCCCAAUGCGGGGCUCGGACUCACAGACCAUGAGAUCAUGACCUGAGCCAAAGUUGGACGCUCAACCAAUGGAGCCACCCAGGCGCCCCAAGUUACUUCACCUUUCUGAGCCUCAGUUUGCUCAGCCGUGAUUAUAGUAUCCAUUUCAUCAGAGAGCAUUG